CUUGAUAACCUCAAUCGUCUGUCUUGAGAUCUUCAGAAUCUUCAACUACGUAACAUAACAUUAGAAGCUUGCAAUUCUUUAGAAGCUUUGGUGAUCAGAGUCACGUCCAGAAGCACGAAUUGAGAGAAUGUUGCAGUAACAACAUAACGUUUCCUCAGAAGCUUCUCAAGAGUGAAUCAGCACAGAAGCAGAAAGAUCAUUGCAUCAACA
rnacentral:lncRNA from 1 species